rnacentral:rRNA from 1 species
AGUCACUGACAUUAGAUACCCCGGUAGUCCCAGCUGUAAACGAUGCAGACUAGGUGUUUGGACGGCCACGUGCCGUUCUAGUGCCGCAGGGAAGCUGUUAAGUCUGCCGCCUGGGGAGUACGAUCGCAAGAUUGAAACUUAAAGGAAUUGGCGGGGGAGCACCACAAGGGGUGAAGCUUGCGGUUUAAUUGGAUUCAACGCCGGAAAUCUUACCGGGACCGACAGCAACAUGAAGGCCAAGCUGAAGACUUUGCCGGAUUAGCUG